CCCUUAGAUGUUCUGGGCCGCACGCGCGCUACACUGACGAAUGCAACGAGCUUAUAACCUUGGCCGAAAGGUCUGGGUAAUCUCCAAAUUUCGUCGUGAUGGGGAUAGAUUAUUGCAAUUAUUAAUCUUCAGCGAGGAAUGCCUAGUAAGCGCAAGUCAUCAGCUUGCGUUGAUUACGUCCCUGCCCUUUGUACACACCGCCCGUCGCUCCUACCGAUUGAAUGGUCCGGUGAAGCGUUCGGACCGUGGCCUUUGGACGGUUCGCCGUCUGUUGGCUGCGGGAAGUUCGUUAAACCUUAUCAUUUAGAGGAAGGAGAAGUCGUANCA
rnacentral:rRNA from 1 species